AGAGUUUGAUCCUGGCUCAGAACGAACGCUGGCGGCGUGGAUAAGACAUGCAAGUCGAGCGCGAAUUAUCGGGUAGCAAUAUCCGGUAGUUUGAGCGGCGCAAGGGUGCGUAACACGUGGGUAAUCUGCCAUGAAGUUUGGGAUAACUCGCUGAAAGGCGAGCUAAUACCGGAUGUGACAAUUGGGAGGCAUCUCCUGAUUUUCAAAGCUGGGGACCGUAAGGCCUGGCGCUUCUUGAUGAGCCCGCGGCCUAUCAGCUAGUUGGUGAGGUAACGGCUCACCAAGGCUAAGACGGGUAGCUGGUCUGAGAGGACGACCAGCCACACUGGAACUGAGACACGGUCCAGACACCUACGGGUGGCAGCAGUCGAGAAUUUUUCACAAUGGGCGCAAGCCUGAUGGAGCGACGCCGCGUGGGGGAUGAAUGGCUUCGGCCCGUAAACCCCUGUCAUUUGCGAUCAACCGUUAUUAUUUAAAAGAUGAUAACCUGAUAGUAGCGAAAGAGGAAGGGACGGCUAGCUCUGUGCCAGCAGCCGCGGUAAUACAGAGGUCCCAAGCGUUGUUCGGAUUCACUGGGCGUAAAGGGUGCGUAGGUGGUGGGGUAAGUCGGAUGUGAAAGCUCGGAGCUCAACUCCGAAAUGGCAUUGGAAACUACCCUGCUCGAGGAAUGGAGGGGGGACUGGAAUUCUCGGUGUAGCAGUGAAAUGCGUAGAUAUCGAGAGGAACACCAGUGGCGAAGGCGAGUCCCUGGACAUCUCCUGACACUGAGGCACGAAAGCUAGGGGAGCAAACAGGAUUAGAUACCCUAGUAGUCC
rnacentral:rRNA from 1 species